UGGGGAAUCUUGCGCAAUGGGCGAAAGCCUGACGCAGCGACGCCGCGUGGGGGAUGAAGGCCUUUCAGGUUGUAAACCCCUUUCGGCAGGGACGAAGCGAUCUCGUGACGGUACCUGCAGAAGAAGCCUCGGCUAACUACGUGCCAGCAGCCGCGGUAACACGUAGGAGGCGAGCGUUGUCCGGAAUCAUUGGGCGUAAAGAGCGCGCAGGCGGCUUGGCAAGUCGGGUGUGAAAUCCCGGGGCUCAACCCCGGGACUGCAUUCGAUACUGUCAGGCUAGAGGUAGGUAGGGGAGGUCGGAAUUCCUGGUGUAGCGGUGAAAUGCGCAGAUAUCAGGAGGAACACCGGUGGCGAAGGCGGAUCUCUGGGCCUUACCUGACGCUCAGGCGCGAAAGCUAGGGGAGCGAACAGG
rnacentral:rRNA from 1 species